CCUACGGGUGGCAGCAGUGAGGAAUAUUGGUCAAUGGGCGGGAGCCUGAACCAGCCAUGCCGCGUGAAGGCGAGUGCCCUACGGGCGUUAAACUUCUUUUGUGCGGGAGCAAUAAGGGCCACGCGUGGCCCGAUGAGAGUACCGCACGAAUAAGCAUCGGCCAACCCCGUGCCAGCAGCCGCGGUAAUACGGGGGAUGCGAGCGUUAUCCGGUUUUUUUGGGGUUAAAGGGUGCGCAGGCGGAAGAUCAAGUCUGCGGUAAAAUUGGGAGGGUAAACCUCUUCGAGCCGUUGAAACUGGUUUUCUUGAGUGUGUGUGAGGUAUGCGGAAUGCGUGGUGUAGCGGUGAAAUGCAUAGAUAUCACGCAGAACUCCGAUUGCGAAGGCAGCAUACCGGCGCUCAACUGACGCUCAUGCACGAAAGUGUGGGUAUCGAACAGGAUUAGAUACCCCAGUAGUC
rnacentral:rRNA from 1 species